AGUCACGCUCACAGGUUUCUUUUGGGGGGCUUCCAUUACUUCCAUAUUGCCUUCUGUCGUUGUUGGAGCGCCACCUCCGUCUCUCUCUCUGUCUGUGUGCGAGCACGACACAAAGUCACAUACACAUCCCUUCGCCUUCUCGCCUGGUGAGUACGGAGCCAUGAGCCGCUAUUAUAGCGUGUGCUCCGUCCCAACAGACAAUGACACGAAAACAAACUGCAUCUUUCUGAACACGGUGGACUUCGCCGAGGUGGCAGGCCCUCAGGCAGCCGCCACUGGAAACUCCUUCGCGGUGCUGGUGCAGGGCUUCCCAUUCACGGUGUGCCGCAGCGAUGUCGUGGAGCGUGGUGCGGUGGCGAUGAACAGCAUCCAGCGUCGCCUGCUUGGCUUGUCCACUGGUGCGCGCAGCACGGUGGUGCUGGAGCCGUUUCUGUCAAGGGUACCCAACAUGCGCAUCCUUCAGAUUCAAGUAGAACCGAUUUCGGCGCGACAGGCGAUCAUGCUGGACUGCCAGGCCUGCAUCGCCUACAUGGAGAAAAUGUACAGCGGGCAGUACUUUCGCGUCACACAGCAGCUGGCCAUCGUCAUGGACUCUGGUGAGCGCAUGCGCGCCACUGUGAUGACAACGGAGCUGGUGGAGUCGAAGGAGGUGUCGGCUGCAAGCUUGGAUAUCGGCCGCUUCUCCCGCGGUGUAACUCAGGUGAUCAUUACCGCCAGCGAGGCCAGCGGCAUUAACCUCAUGAACGUGUCGGAGGCACAGAUGGAUGCGCAGCAGCCACAGCUGGUGCGCAACUUCAACCUAGAGAACCUCGGCAUUGGUGGCCUGCGGGCCGAGUUCGGUCAGGUAUUCCGUCGCGCAUUCGCGAGUCGCAUGUUGAAGCCAUCCUUCAUUAAAAAGCUUGCCCUGAAGCACGUCAAGGGUGUGCUGCUGUAUGGCCCUCCUGGCACUGGUAAAACCCUCAUCGCGCGUAAGAUCGGGGAGAUCCUGAACUGCCACGAGCCCAAGAUUGUGAACGGUCCGGAGGUGUUCAACAAGUUCGUCGGCGGUACCGAGGAGAACAUCCGCAAGCUCUUCGCCGACGCAGAAAAGGAACAGGCUGAGAAGGGCGACCAAUCGCGGCUGCACCUCAUCAUCUUUGACGAGUUCGAUGCCAUCUGCAAGCAGCGUGGCGCCGUCCGAGACUCGACGGGCGUGAAUGACAACGUCGUCAACCAGCUGCUGUCGAAGAUCGACGGCGUGAACUCAUUGAACAACGUGCUGCUGGUCGGCAUGACGAACCGGCUCGACUUGAUCGAUGAGGCGAUCUUGCGUCCGGGCCGCUUUGAGGUGCACGUCGAGAUCGGCUUGCCGGAUGAGCCGGGCCGCGUGGAGAUCUUCCGCAUCCACACGCGCGGCAUGCGGGAGAACAAUAUCAUGUCCAGCGACGUCAGCCUGGAGGAGCUGGGGAAGAUGACGAAGAACUACUCUGGCGCCGAGAUUGAGGGCGUCGUGCGCGACGCUACGUCGAACGCGUUCAACCGCCACAUUGACCUCGACCAUCCUGACAAGAUGGUUGAUGACGCGAACGUGCAUGUUACGCGCGAGGACUUCAUGAAGGCGGUGGAGGAGGUGACCCCGGCGUUCGGCCAGGCCAAGGAAGAGUGCGCCAACCUGCGCCGUGGUGGCAUCAUAGACUACGGUGACUCGUGGGAAGUGGUCAAGUCGCGUUGCAAGCGCUACACCGAUCAGCUCAACGCUGCUGGCAAGCGCAUCGACUCCCUCGCUGUUCUUAUCGACGGCGCCCCUGGCAGCGGCAAGUCUGCGGUCAGCGCGUACCUCGCGGAGGUAGCUGACUUUCCCUACGUCAAGGUGGUGUCGGCCGAGGACAUGGUCGGCUACGGCGAGAUGCAGCGAGUGAACAUCCUGCGGAAGGCCUUCGAGGACGCGUACAAGUCGCCGGCGAGCUGUAUCAUCCUUGACGACCUUGAGCGUCUCAUCGACUUCUCGCAGCUUGGUGGACGCUACAGCAAUACGCUUCUACAGGCACUCCUCGUGCUCACCAAGCGCCCGCCGCCGGAGGGGAAGAAACUCCUGGUGGUGGGUACCACGGCGCAAUACGACAUCAUGGACAGCCUGGAGCUGGGGGCAUGCUUCUCGGUGAAGCUGCACCUGCCUAGCGUUCCUGUGUCAGCGAUCCCGAAGGUGUGCGAGGGGCUCGGCCUCGCCUUCGCUUCUCAACAGGACAUGGACAGCUGCUUGAGCCUCAUGUCGCACGACAUUCCGAUGAAACAGCUAAUGCUGUUGCUGGAGAUGGCGUCGGAGCAGAAGGGCAGCGGGCGGCCACUCAUCACAUACCACUCCAUGUCGCGGGCCAAGGAGUCUGUCGGUGGGUACUAGAAAUGCGAACGAGCCCCCAGCGAUUGUGGGCAUUUUGUUAAGGUGCACUUGCAGAUCUCUCCCCCCCCCCUCCCACACACCACUUUCUUUUGCUCUGUUCAGCUGCGUGUGCCUGCCGCCUGCGCCGACUGUCGAAACGAAUCGGCAACACUGUCGCGUCGUUGGGUUUCUUGUCUUUUCCCUCUCGCUCUUCCCCUCCCCCCUCCCACACGGUAGGGGGGGGCCGGUCGUGUCGGCUCACGCAUCCCUGUAUACGCCGCCUGCGCACGUGGGUGUAGAGCGGGAGGAGGGGGGGGUCCAUCAGCGUGAUGACAAGUGUGAGGAGCUGGUAGGGAGAGCGUGAGGCAGCGCAAGAGGUGUCUCCCGCAGGUGUUUUGGUUUUGGUUUCGGUUUCGUAUCUCGUCAGGCUUUCUUGCUUGCGGAGGGCUGUUCCACACCCCCCCCCUCUCCCUCCCUGUGCAUCCGUACGGAUGUGCUACGCAAAGAUAAACGAAAAAGACUUAUUCCUCAAGCAUCAUGUUCUUGCGUUGCUGGUGGAGGAGUGCUGCGGAAGAGUCGAAGCUCUCCGAGUUUUCGUUUGGGCCGCUGCAUCCCUCGAUGUCGAGACCCUUGGUUGCUUUCAAGGAGCGUUUUUGCGUGCUACUCAAGGUCGCUGCGAACGUUGGUGCUGUCGAUGUAGAUGAUGGAUCUACAUUGCUCCUGUAAAGGAGAGCAAGGGAAGAGAAGCCCCGCUACGCAUCUGGAGAAAGGUAGGCGUCAUGAUGAAAGCCGACUCUCUGGUGGCGCCCCCCCCCCCUCCCUCCUCACUGGUGGCCUCCCUGUUGCAUGGACACAGAAACGCGAUGAGCACACGUGGUUCAAUAAGCAGGUGUCCGCUGCGCACAUCGUAGUGCCCGUCUGCUGCGUGGAAGAAACGUUAGCAUCGUAACGUGCCAGCCUCUCCCACAAACCCUCUUUUCUUCCAGCGCUCGCUACUUUUCGCUCGUACCCCUGCUUCGGGGCUUCCCUUCUGCUUUGCACUAG
rnacentral:misc_RNA from 1 species